ACCGCUUCUCAGCCUUUUAGCUAAUAUCAAGGGUAGUAUCUGCUCUUAUCAGUUUAAAAAUGUGGCAAAAAUUAGUCCUCAGAAAUUUACUUUAUAGGCAAUGUUUUUUGCAGAUGAUGCAAAACCAUCUUUGAAAUUCUCUUUUAUUACAUGCACUUAUGUGAGGUAGGAUGC
rnacentral:snRNA from 1 species